GAUGAACGCUGACAGCAUGCUUAACACAUGCAAGUCUUUCGCGAAGAUGUGCUUGUACCGCCUAGCCAAGGCGGACGGGUGAGUAAAGCGUCAGGAACAUGCCCUCCAGUCAGGGCUAACAGACGGAAACGACUGAUAAGACCAGGUAAAGUAAGACGGACUCACGUCUAGCCUGAUGAAAAGAGAUGCUGCAGGAGAGCCUUGCGUCCUUUUAGCUUGCUGGUGGGGUAACGGCCCACCAAGGCGAUGAUAGGUAGCCGGACUGAGAGGGUGGACGGCCACAAGGUGACUGAGAUACGGCGCAUAGUCCUACGGGAGACAGGAGUAGGGAAUAUUGGACAAUGGGGGCAAAGUUAAUACAGCAAUUCGGUGUGAAAGAUGAAUGUUUUCGGAAGGAAAAGUGCUUUCAGCAGGAAAGACAUAAUGACGGUACCUGCAGAAGAAGCGACGGCUAAAUACGUG
rnacentral:rRNA from 1 species